rnacentral:rRNA from 1 species
GUGCCAGCAGCCGCGGUAAAACGUAGGAGGCGAGCGUUAUCCGGAGUUACUGGGCGUAAAGCGCGUGUAGGUGGUCUGUUACGUCUGCUGUGAAAUGUCCCGGCUCAACCGGGACUAGGCGGUAGAUACGGGCAGACUAGAGGGUGACAGAGGAGCGUAGAAUUCCGGGUGUAGUGGUGAAAUGCGUAGAGAUCCGGAGGAAUACCAGUGGCGCAAGCGGCGCUCUGGGUCGAGCCUGACACUGAGACGCGAAGGCAUGGGGAGCGAACGGGAUUAGAAACCCUCGUAGUCC